rnacentral:rRNA from 3 species
UCAGGACGAACGCUGGCGGCGUGCCUAAUACAUGCAAGUCGUACGCUUCUUUUUCCACCGGAGCUUGCUCCACCGGAAAAAGAAGAGUGGCGAACGGGUGAGUAACACGUGGGUAACCUGCCCAUCAGAAGGGGAUAACACUUGGAAACAGGUGCUAAUACCGUAUAACAAUCGAAACCGCAUGGUUUUGAUUUGAAAGGCGCUUUCGGGUGUCGCUGAUGGAUGGACCCGCGGUGCAUUAGCUAGUUGGUGAGGUAACGGCUCACCAAGGCCACGAUGCAUAGCCGACCUGAGAGGGUGAUCGGCCACAUUGGGACUGAGACACGGCCCAAACUCCUACGGGAGGCAGCAGUAGGGAAUCUUCGGCAAUGGACGAAAGUCUGACCGAGCAACGCCGCGUGAGUGAAGAAGGUUUUCGGAUCGUAAAACUCUGUUGUUAGAGAAGAACAAGGAUGAGAGUAACUGUUCAUCCCUUGACGGUAUCUAACCAGAAAGCCACGGCUAACUACGUGCCAGCAGCCGCGGUAAUACGUAGGUGGCAAGCGUUGUCCGGAUUUAUUGGGCGUAAAGCGAGCGCAGGCGGUUUCUUAAGUCUGAUGUGAAAGCCCCCGGCUCAACCGGGGAGGGUCAUUGGAAACUGGGAGACU